GAUGAACGCUGGCGGCGUGCCUAAUACAUGCAAGUCGAGCGAACAGACGAGGAGCUUGCUCCUCUGACGUUAGCGGCGGACGGGUGAGUAACACGUGGAUAACCUACCUAUAAGACUGGGAUAACUUCGGGAAACCGGAGCUAAUACCGGAUAAUAUAUUGAACCGCAUGGUUCAAUAGUGAAAGACGGUUUUGCUGUCACUUAUAGAUGGAUCCGCGCCGCAUUAGCUAGUUGGUAAGGUAACGGCUUACCAAGGCAACGAUGCGUAGCCGACCUGAGAGGGUGAUCGGCCGCACUGGAACUUAGACACGGUCCAGACUCCUACGGGAGGCAGCAGUAGGGAAUCUUCCGCAAUGGGCGAAAGCCUGACGGAGCAACGCCGCGUGAGUGAUGAAGGUCUUCGGAUCGUAAAACUCUGUUAUUAGGGAAGAACAAAUGUGUAAGUAACUAUGCACGUCUUGACGGUACCUAAUCAGAAAGCCACGGCUAACUACGUG
rnacentral:rRNA from 1 species